CAAAAAUUUUGCAUUAAUUUUUAGGUAGCAUAUUUAAAAUAACAUGUUGACAGAAAAUUACCCAAGUUGGACGCCUGGGUGGCUCAGUGGGUUAAGCCUCU